rnacentral:rRNA from 1 species
UGGGGAAUAUUGGACAAUGGGCGCAAGCCUGAUCCAGCCAUGCCGCGUGUGUGAAGAAGGUCUUCGGAUUGUAAAGCACUUUAAGUUGGGAGGAAGGGCUCUUGGCUAAUACCCGAGGGUUUUGACGUUACCAACAGAAUAAGCACCGGCUAACUUCGUGCCAGCAGCCGCGGUAAUACGAAGGGUGCGAGCGUUAAUCGGAAUUACUGGGCGUAAAGCGCGCGUAGGCGGUUUGUUAAGUUGGAGGUGAAAUCCCCGGGCUCAACCUGGGAACUGCCUCCAAAACUGGCUGACUAGAGUACGGUAGAGGGUGGUGGAAUUUCCUGUGUAGCGGUGAAAUGCGUAGAUAUAGGAAGGAACACCAGUGGCGAAGGCGACCACCUGGACUGAUACUGACGCUGAGGUGCGAAAGCGUGGGGAGCAAACA